AGAGUUUGAUCCUGGCUCAGAUUGAACGCUGGCGGAAUGCUUUACACAUGCAAGUCGAACGGCAGCACGGACUUCGGUCUGGUGGCGAGUGGCGAACGGGUGAGUAACAUAUCGGAACGUAUCCAAUAAUGGGGGAUAACUAAUCGAAAGGUUGGCUAAUACCGCAUACGCCCUACGGGGGAAAGCUAGGGACCUUCGGGCCUGGCGUUAAUGGAGCGGCCGAUAUCUGAUUAGCUAGUUGGUGGGGUAAAGGCCCACCAAGGCGACGAUCAGUAGCUGGUCUGAGAGGACGACCAGCCACACUGGAACUGAGACACGGUCCAGACUCCUACGGGAGGCAGCAGUGGGGAAUUUUGGACAAUGGGCGCAAGCCUGAUCCAGCAAUGCCGCGUGCAGGAUGAAGGCCUUCGGGUUGUAAACUGCUUUUGUACGGAACGAAACGGCGAGCUCUAAUACAGCUUGCUAAUGACGGUACCGUAAGAAUAAGCACCGGCUAACUAC
rnacentral:rRNA from 1 species